rnacentral:rRNA from 1 species
CGGACGGGUGAGUAACGCGUGGGUAACCUGCCUCAUACAGGGGGAUAACAGUUAGAAAUGACUGCUAAUACCGCAUAAGACCACAGAGCCGCAUGGCUCGGUGGGAAAAACUCCGGUGGUAUGAGAUGGACCCGCGUCUGAUUAGGUAGUUGGUGGGGUAAUGGCCCACCAAGGCAAUGAUCGGUAGCCGGACUGAGAGGUUGAACGGCCACAUUGGGACUGAGACACGGCCCAG